rnacentral:rRNA from 1 species
GCGUUGUUCGGAAUUACUGGGCGUAAAGGGCGCGUAGGCGGUCUGCUAAGUUGGAUGUGAAAACUCUGGGCUUAACCCAGAGCCUGCAUUCAAUACUGACAGGCUAGAGUUCUGGAGGGGAUAGCGGAAUUCCUGGUGUAGCGGUGAAAUGCGUAGAUAUCAGGAGGAACACCGGUGGCGAAGGCGGCUAUCUGGACAGAGUCUGACGCUGAGGCGCGAAAGCUAGGGGAGCAAACAGG